rnacentral:lncRNA from 1 species
GCUGGCACCAUGAGGGUAUUAGCAGAAUUCACUGCCAAUGGCCUGGAACCAGGUGUCCUAAAUUACUGUGUGAGCUGCAGACUGUUGAUUGUGCAGUCAAUCAACAUUAGUAUUAGCACAGCUGUCUAAGAUUGAGGUUAAAGAGAGAGCAAUCAAACCCAUUGUGGACAGUGGGAGAAGGGGUUGCAUGGUGGGUUUCGUGCUAUAAGGAGUGCUGCAGAUUUGUUCAGCUGCUUGGAGUCUCCGAGGCAUCCCUUUCUUUUGAACAAGGUUUUGGGGUCACUUUUGUGUCUGGAGCCAUUCCACAAGGAUUACUAGCAUCUGGAAUCUCCCAACUACAGCUGCUCAUGGACCGGCUUCCCACUCACAAAAGCUGAAAUCCAUUAUGAUUUGCAACAGCAUUUACCUUGCAGAGGAGGGCUUGUCCACGGUGCUGCGUUAUGCAAAUUCAGCUUAAUGUACUUUAAUGACACCAGGCAGAUCCCAAAGGCUUUUUAAGGCCGGAUAAAUUCUGAAUUAAUUAUUCUAAUGUUACCAGAAAUUAACUUGGCCCAGAAUAUUUUAAGAUGAAAGGAACCUGUGGUCAGAUAUGCAUGCCACAAGAUAAGGAAGCAAAGCAGUAAUAAGCACAAAUACUGAGGCAAAAAACCAUGUAAUCAGUACCAGCUCAUAAAUAAUUUCAUGCACAAAGAACGUCCCAAGUUGUUGGGCAACUUGGGAUGAGGUAUAAAAACCUGAGCAACCCAUGGUCCUUCCAACCAUUUCUCCUCCCUUCUUUGCCUUGGUCAAUAGGGUAAGUCUGAACUCAUUUAUUCUCUUUGUGUGCAUUGAACUCUUGCCUGGAUGAUGUUGUACCAUUGACAUACAUUCAGCUUAUUCUUCUCUCUGAGAGAGGAAGCUGAGAGGGGUUUUCAUAUGAAAGAGAGAGUUUUCUGUU